rnacentral:tRNA from 1 species
GUGGGUAGAGCUCAGUGGUAGAGCUUGUGCUUAGCAUGCACAAGGUCCUGGGUUCAAUCCCCAGUACCUCCA